AAAAAAAGUCAGUAACUAGUACAGAGAGAAUUUGUAAAGAUAAUUAACUCUUUAUAGAUGAAGGGUAAAUUAUUAAUUUCUCUAUCCUUUCAGUGUUUAUUGUAUUUGGCUGUAGAAAAUGACUUGUAGAUUUUGUAUGUUCUCUUGUAAGGUCCUGGGUUUUUCUUCUUGGUUUUGAAAUUUCUCAGCAGCUCUCUUUGGGAGAAGGGUCUUGAUAAUCACUUGCAACCAAAAAAGACUACCAUUCUGUCUUAGGCUUACAUU
rnacentral:misc_RNA from 1 species